rnacentral:rRNA from 1 species
UACGGAGGGUGCAAGCAUUAAUCGGAAUUACUGGGUGUAAAGGGUGCGUAGGCUGAUUAAUAAGUCAGGCGUGAAAUUCCGGUACUCAAUAUCGGAGCGGCGCUUGAAACUGUUAGUCUAGAGGAUAGACGGAGAGAACGGAAUUCCAUGUGUAGCGGUGAAAUGCGUAGAUAUAUGGAAGAACACCUGUGGCGAAAGCGGUUCUCUAGUUUAUUUCUGACGCUGAGGCACGAGAGCGUGGGGAGCAAAC